UUCUCUUUCGGCAGAAAGAAAAAUCCACCCCCAACCCAGUUACUGCGCCACCACCCACGAGGAGCACGAUUGUGGAUUUUCAAUCCUCAAUGCUAACCUGCGCAAUUAGAAGCGCUACCAACUCGUCCUUGCCAGAUUUGAAGAGAGCUAUUUAGGGAUCCACGAGAGGCGGCUGAAGUUUUUCAUGGAUGCGCACGAGGAGUUCAUCAACUGGGAGUUAUUUUGUAUUACCUUGGAUAUUUAAUCAUUUAUGAGAACCAAUGCACAAGUACAUUUCUUCGGGAUAAACAUGUGACUGACUAGCAAUUGAAGCCCUACAAGUUUAGCUAUGAGGGUGAUUUCAAAGAUGAAAGUAGGAAAAUGAUCAAAUCACAAUGGAAAAGAACAAAAUUUGAGAACGAAACAAGCUGUGGUAGUGUGCAAGUGUUAUCUAGAGGCUAGAGGUCUGUUCUAUAUGUUAUAGGUUUGCCAAGAUAUAUUAGUUGGAUUUUGUAUCUCAUGGAAAUACAUUGUAUUAAUUAUUGAUUAUUAAUAAAUGAAUUACAUUUUAUUUA